GACGAACGCUGGCGGCGCGCCUAAUACAUGCAAGUCGAACGAGUACGCACUUCGGUGCAAUGUACGAGUGGCGAACGGGUGAGUAACACGUGAGAAACCUGCCUCGGAGACCGGGACAACCAUUGGAAACGAUGGCUAAUACCGGAUGUCCUUACUUGAUCGCAUGAUCGUGUAAGGAAAUGAUCCGUCGCUCCGGGAGGGUCUCGCGGCCUAUCAGCUAGUUGGUGAGGUAACGGCUCACCAAGGCAUCGACGGGUAGCUGGUCUGAGAGGACGAUCAGCCACACUGGGACUGAGACACGGCCCAGACUCCUACGGGAGGCAGCAGUAGGGAAUCUUGCACAAUGGGCGAAAGCCUGAUGCAGCGACGCCGCGUGGGGGAUGAAGGCCUUCGGGUUGUAAACCCCUUUCAGUAGGGACGAAAAUGACGUACCUACAGAAGAAGCUCCGCCAACUA
rnacentral:rRNA from 1 species